UACGUAGGGGGCAAGCGUUGUCCGGAAUCAUUGGGCGUAAAGCGCGUGUAGGCGGCUCGGUAAGUCCGCUCUGAAAGUCCGGGGCUCAACCCCGGGAGGUGGGUGGAUACUGUCGAGCUCGAGUCCGGAAGAGGCGAGUGGAAUUCCUGGUGUAGCGGUGAAAUGCGCAGAUAUCAAGGAGGAACACCGGUGGCGAAGGCGGUGAUCUGGGCCGACACUGACGUGUAGAGCGAAAGCGUGGGGAGCGAACAGG
rnacentral:rRNA from 1 species